rnacentral:misc_RNA from 1 species
GAAAUGCGAUAAGUAAUGUGAAUUGCAGAAUUCAGUGUAUCAUCGAAUCUUUGAACGCACAUUGCGCCCGCCAGUAUUCUGGCGGGCAUGCCUGUUCGAGCGUCAUUUCAACCAUCAAGCCCCCGGGCUUGUGUUGGGGACCUGCGGCUGCCGCAGGCCCCGAAAACCAGUGGCGGGCUCGCUGUCACACCGGGCGUAGUAGAUUUUUCGUCUCGCCCAGGGCGUGCUGCGGGUUCCGGCCGUUAAAAAGCCUCUCUUUUAACCCAAGGUUGACCUCGGAUCAGGUAGGAAGACCCGCUGAACUUAAGC